ensembl:lncRNA
GUUCUCUUGAGCUCAGUGGUUCUCGGUGGUGUCCCACUCACACAUAACCACUUCCCCUCGUUCCUGUCUGCAGAAUCUCUCAGUUUGAUCAGAGGUGCUUAAAAUGUUGAAGGGAGAGUAAGCUGUCAUGGAGGUUUUUCAAACCAGGGUCCUGCGUCUGAAUUUGUGUGUCAUCCUUACUUUACUGACAAAUGCAGAUUAUUCCAAAUCCAAUCAAGAGCAAAGGAUUCAGCAGCACAUCAACAAAACAGUGUUUNUGAUGAUUUCACAUGGAAAAUGAACAACUCGGUUAUUUUUAGGCAUGUCUCUGAUAUUAACAUAACUAAGACAAACUUCAUCUCCAACAGGAUUCACAUCGACCCCGCAGCUCCAAGAGAAUUAACAAUACAUCAAAUACAAGCGUCUGAUGCAGGAAACUACAGCUGUUACCCAGCAGCAAUAAGAUGGACAUUAACAAUAACAGAUAUCCAGAUCAGACCAGAAUCACUCAAACAAAUGUCGCUGAACAUCAUCAUCAUUAUCAUCUCAUGUUCUGGAGUCAUUAUGGUCUGUUUUAUCAUCACCAUCAGCAUCUGCAUUCACAGGUGAGAGACAUUUUUAACAUUUCAUACCCUCGGAAACACUGAUAUGUAGUUUCAGCUCCAGGUCAUUUUAUAGAGUGAUGAACCGCUUACUUCAUACCUGUACUUUUUUAAAUGAUCUGCUACUUUUCAAAUGUGUAUUUGUAGGCAGUGUCUAUUCAAACAUGAGUUCAAAUAGCCAGCUUGAAUGGCAAAAGUUAAUUUCAUUAACUCUGUCCACCAUUGCUCAGAUAUUUCACCUUAAACACAAACAGCUCUUCACUUCUAGUUACAGUUUGUGUAAAUAACAUCUAGCAUUUUCAAGCUUUUUAAAUGUCUAAAUAGCAUUUGCCAUACUUUUAUGUAUGUA